rnacentral:tRNA from 1 species
GUUUCUUUACAAAUUGUUGGGUUUUAGUUUUGUAGUCUAAUAAUUGAAGUGGUGUUUAAAAUACU